rnacentral:rRNA from 1 species
GAGCGGAUGAAGGGAGCUUGCUCCUGGAUUCAGCGGCGGACGGGUGAGUAAUGCCUAGGAAUCUGCCUGGUAGUGGGGGAUAACGUCCGGAAACGGGCGCUAAUACCGCAUACGUCCUGAGGGAGAAAGUGGGGGAUCUUCGGACCUCACGCUAUCAGAUGAGCCUAGGUCGGAUUAGCUAGUUGGUGGGGUAAAGGCCUACCAAGGCGACGAUCCGUAACUGGUCUGAGAGGAUGAUCAGUCACACUGGAACUGAGACACGGUCCAGACUCCUACGGGAGGCAGCAGUGGGGAAUAUUGGACAAUGGGCGAAAGCCUGAUCCAGCCAUGCCGCGUGUGUGAAGAAGGUCUU